rnacentral:rRNA from 1 species
AUACGGAGGGUCCGAGCGUUAAUCGGAAUCACUGGGCGUAAAGCGCGCGCAGGCGGCUAUUUAAGUUGGAUGUGAAAGCCUACGGCUCAACCGUAGAACUGCAUCCAAAACUACUUAGCUAGAGUGUGGGAGAGGAAGAUGGAAUUAGUUGUGUAGGGGUAAAAUCCGUAGAGAUAACUAGGAAUACCAAAAGCGAAGGCAAUCUUCUGGAACACUACUGACGCUGAGGCGCGAAAGCGUGGGGAGCAAACGGGAUUAGAAACCCUUGUAGUCC